AAAAAUACCGCCUCAGUUCGGAUUGUAGUCUGCAACCCGACUACAUGAAGCCGGAAUCGCUAGUAAUCGCGAAUCAGAAUGUCGCGGUGAAUACGUUCCCGGGUCUUGUACACACCGCCCGUCACACCAUGAGAGUCGGGAACACCCGAAGUCCGUAGUCUAACCCGCAAGGGGAGGGCGCGGCCGAAGGUGGGUCCGGUAAUUGGGGUGAAGUCGUAACAAGGUAAC
rnacentral:rRNA from 1 species